CGCAUCCUCACUGGAGAGAGAGGGCGGACCAUCCGGUCGAACCCUCCACCGAAGGCGCAACCCGCAGUGAGUCUUUCCCCCGAAAGACACAACCGGCGAAUCGCUCAGGUAAAGCGGACAGCGAGGGCAAC
rnacentral:ncRNA from 2 species